ACACCGCCCCUCCAGCGCGAAAUACUUGGUUGAGCGCUGCUGUGUGGCAAGAGUGCAUUUUUGGAUUCAACUGUAAGAACGCUUGGCAAGACGAUUUCGCCUCAAGCCAUGACAGCAAAAGACUUGCAGACGCUGAGCCGCUACCUGUUCAACCUUUCAGUGCAAGAACUAUACCAGCUCGACUACACCUUUAUGCUGUCGUUUGGGAGACUGGGAGGCAAAGCGCAACACCUUGCUCUCAGUGAGAUUCUUUACUACCUUCAAGUGACGGAACCAUACAGAACGCGGAUUUCUUACGUGGCCUGGAUUUACUGCUUCCUCAUGCCACGCAGCCGUAUCGGCCCGUGGCGGUUGUAUAAGGUCGAAAAUUUCGAGGGGCAUUUUAGGCACUUUGACCUGCACUGGCACUUCGCACAGGCUAUGCAGUAUCCCGGUUCUGAUAUGACGUUCUUGCCUGUCGUCAACACGGACACUCGCUUGGCUUGCGUAAUAACUACUGAUCCGGAGUUCGGGCUGCUGGAACACGGUGUUCUCGGAGUGUGUGUCUUCAACAAGCUGCCAUACGUGGCCCUGUGGAUUGGAGGAGCGGUCAAUGUUGGAGUGCUGGAUUCUGCCCUCAAAUCUGUCCUGAAAAACAAUCCUCAACAAUGCCUGGUCUCUGUUUACACCACCCUGGACUCCACACACGCGGCGGCACGACAUCUAUUUCACAGGAAAGGCGGGCAGCAAGCGUUAGAAGCUGCAAGCGCACGAGUUCAUGAAGCUGCUGGCCUCUAAUAAACCAACGUUGCGAAGACGUCCCGCUAUCAAAAUUCUACGAGGAUUCAUCGUGGGACAAAACGACCAUUCGUUUCUGGCAAAAGUAGAAAGUGUCCUAACAUGGCAUCGGCCCUAUAGUCUACGUUUCCAGGAGGACGUGAACAUUUCAUCUGUUUUGAAUCUGGUCUAAUUCCAUUCGUUAAUGAUGGUACACGUGUCAAGACCUCCUACGACGUCUUAAGCGCUACUGUUCACGUUUUGACGAUUCCCCGAGAUGAUCUGCAUCGCUCUAAGAGUUGCAUCCGAAUGGCGCAGCCGUUCAACUAAACAGCAUUUGAUGUGACGUUCGCCACUUGCUUCAUCGCUCACUUUUUACUCUUUAUGAAAAACCUUUGAAGUGCGGUUUUAUAACAGUGAUAUUGUGCCGAGUAUUUGUGAAAAUUGUUAAAGAAAUAGCGCUUUUGUGAAUACUGUAUGUACGUAUAAAGUGGUCAAAAUAAAGUGUUCUUUUCAGUAAAAGAAAAAG